rnacentral:rRNA from 1 species
CGAGUAACGCGAAGAACCUUACCAGGUCUUGACAUCCCCUGACAACCCGAGAGAUCGGGCGUUCCCCUUCGGGGGACAGGGUGACAGGUGGUGCAUGGUUGUCGUCAGCUCGUGUCGUGAGAUGUUGGGUUAAGUCCCGCAACGAGCGCAACCCUCGACCUUAGUUGCCAGCAUUCAGUUGGGCACUCUAAGGUGACUGCCGGCUAAAAGUCGGAGGAAGGUGGGGAUGACGUCAAAUCAUCAUGCCCCUUAUGACCUGGGCUACACACGUGCUACAAUGGGCGGUACAAAGGGUCGCGAACCCGCGAGGGGGAGCCAAUCCCAAAAAGCCGCUCCCAGUUCGGAUUGCAGGCUGCAACUCGCCUGCAUGAAGCCGGAAUCGCUAGUAAUCGCGGAUCAGCAUGCCGCGGUCGAAUACGUUCCCGGGCCUU